AUGAACGCUAGCGACAGGCCUAACACAUGCAAGUCGAGGGGCAGCACAAGGAGCAAUCUGAGGUGGCGACCGGCGCACGGGUGAGUAACACGUAUGCAACCUGCCUGUAAGCGGGGAAUAACCCGUUGAAAGACGGACUAAUACCGCAUAAUACUAAAUUACUGCAAUGGUAAUUUAUUUAAACAUUUAUGGCUUACAGAUGGGCAUGCGCAUGAUUAGCUAGUUGGAGAGGUAACGGCUCCCCAAGGCAACGAUCAUUAGGGGUUCUGAGAGGAAGGUCCCCCACACUGGUACUGAGACACGGACCAGACUCCUACGGGAGGCAGCAGUGAGGAAUAUUGGUCAAUGGACGAGAGUCUGAACCAGCCAAGUCGCGUGCAGGAAGAAUGUCCCUAUGGAUUGUAAACUGCUUUUGCAGGGGAAUAAAGUGCAUCACGUGUGAUGUUUUGUAUGUACUCUGCGAAUAAGGAUCGGCUAACUCCGUGCCAGCAGCCGC
rnacentral:rRNA from 1 species